GUUUCAGCAGCCGCGGUAAGACGAACCGUCCGAACGUUAUUCGGAAUCACUGGGCUUAAAGGGUGCGUAGGCGGCGCGGAAAGUUGGGUGUGAAAUCCCUCGGCUUAACCGAGGAACGGCGCCCAAAACUACCGUGCUCGAGGGAGAUAGAGGUGAGCGGAACUUAGGGUGGAGCGGUGAAAUGCGUUGAUAUCCUAAGGAACACCGGUGGCGAAAGCGGCUCACUGGAUCUCUUCUGACGCUGAUGCACGAAAGCUAGGGUAGCGAACGGGAUUAGAUACCCCUGUAGUCC
rnacentral:rRNA from 1 species